rnacentral:lncRNA from 1 species
CAGAGCAGCAAUUCCAAGAAAGAAAAGGAUGCCUUGGAGGACAAGAAGCGAAACCCCAUCCUCAGAUAUAUUGGGAAGCCCAAGAGCUCCUCUCAGAGCACAUUUCAUAUUCCCUUGUCCCCUGUGGAAUUAAGCCAGGCAAUGUGAGGAACAUCAUUCAGCACUUUGAGAACAGCCAUCAGUAUGAUGUCCCAGAGCCGGGGACACAACGACUCUCAACAGGAAGCUUUCCUGAGGACCUGCUGGAGAGUGACAGUUCGCGCUCAGAGAUUCGACUGGGCCGCUCUGAGAGCCUCAAGGGCCGGGAAGAGAUGAAGCGAUCCCGGAAAGCAGAGAACGUGCCCCGGUCUCGAAGUGACGUUGACAUGGAUG